GAAAACUCCAAGUGUGCUCCUUCAGCAGCUUCUUGAUGAAUCUAACUUUACCUGUGGCUGAAGUUUUAUGGGAGAACAUUGGGUGUUCUUUCUUGAUAGGAAAAAAAUCCCCACGUUCUCUCUCCUCCUCGCAACUCAUUUCCCGAUCCUCAAUUCCGUGGAAGAGCCGCUUUACUCCUCCCACCAGCGGAAGUGCAUUUGUGGGUGGUUGGUAUAGUCCGCGGUGUCCCCUCGGGCGGCGAGCAGUGGUUUGCGCCGCUCCGGUGGGGUCGGGCCUGGCUGUCGGCCGCCGGUCCUUCGUCGUCCUCCGUCCUCCUCCGGCCCCCGGUGACUUGCAUGCUCCAUCCCUGAGCCCGCUGCAGCCCCGACAUGUCCACCCCGGCCCGGCGGAGACUCAUGCGGGACUUCAAGAGGCUGCAGGAGGACCCCCCGGCCGGGGUCAGCGGGGCCCCCUCCGAGAACAACAUCAUGGUGUGGAACGCCGUCAUCUUCGGGCCCGAGGGGACCCCAUUUGAAGACGGAACUUUUAAACUGACAAUAGAAUUCACAGAAGAAUAUCCAAAUAAGCCACCUACAGUUAGAUUUGUCUCAAAAAUGUUUCAUCCAAAUGUUUAUGCAGAUGGUAGUAUAUGUCUGGAUAUUCUUCAAAACCGUUGGAGUCCAACAUAUGAUGUAUCCUCCAUAUUAACUUCCAUACAGUCUUUAUUGGAUGAACCCAAUCCCAAUAGUCCAGCAAACAGCCAGGCUGCACAGUUGUACCAGGAGAACAAGCGGGAAUACGAAAAACGAGUUUCUGCAAUAGUAGAACAGAGCUGGCGUGACUGUUGACCCAGGAUGAUGUAAAUGAACACUCUGGUCAUGAGGAAAAUAUAUAUAUACAUAUGAAGUGUUUGAGUCAUCUUCCUUCUGCUCCUCAGCAUCAUUUACAUUUACUUUGGUGAAAGCAAAAUAGCUGUUCUGUUGCCUCCCUCGCUGAAGCUUUUUUUUCCCCCCCUUUUGGACAUCAGAAAACACCCACUAAGAAGUCAAAUGUACUGUACCUGGGUUACUUGCGAAAAGAAUUACUAAUGCUUAAUUUCUUUUCUGUGGUACUUCUCCAAUCUUAGGGAAGCAGUGUGCAUUACUGUUCUUCACACUGAGCUUUUAAAAUUGGGGUAGGCAGUGAUGCUCGUGGGGCUCGAUGCAAGGCAUGUUGAUCGACAGAGUGCUUUGAAAAGACUGAGGCCACAAAUGCGGAGUGGGCUAGGCCACUCAUUCACUCGUAUGGUUGUUUUUAGAGCCUACUGUGAUAAAGCACUACCUGAAGACUGACCUCUCAGUCAUGGCUCAUGGAAUAGUGGAGCAGAAGCUUUCUCAGUAUAGAAAAAACAAGCUCUACCCACUUUAAUAAGGCUCAGGAAUUGGCUCCCAUCACCUUCCAAAGCGGCAGAACUUCAUUUUGGUAUGUACUAGUGGACUGGAGAGGGUUGUGCAGAGCAAGCUGACCAGCUGAUGCAUUUAUGGGUUAGAAUUCGCAGGUCUGCUUCAGCUGAAAGAUCUUCCCUAUUCCAGAAAAUAAAGGUGUGAAUAUGUAUUUAUAAUGGGAAAAAGAAGAGGGAGUUAAUGUUGCUCUGUCACUGAUCUGUAUGAGAAGUAAAGAUGCUCUGGCAGACAAUUUGUGUGAGGUGAAAGAAACCCAGAGUACCAAGGAAAUGUUGACUUCUUUCCCACUGAUAUAAUAGGUGCAUUCUUUCUUGGUCUUUGAAAAUUUCAAGGCAAAUCAUACUGUGGAGAAGGCUGUGUGUACCUUUGGAUGGAUUUGACAGCAUCGCGCAUAGCUCAAGAUGUAAGACAUGUAUUGGAAAGAGUCUCUGUACCUCAAUGUGUAAGACUUUACACAAGUAACCCAUGUAAAGAGGAAUGUGUACAAUUUUCAAAAAGUGUAAAGUAAAUGUAACAGAAAAACAAUUAUA